UAAUGCACCGGAUCCCAU
rnacentral:snRNA from 1 species